CGGCAGCAGUGAGGAAUAUUGGACAAUGGAUGGAAAUCUGAUCCAGCCAUGCCGCGUGCAGGAAGACGGUCCUAUGGAUUGUAAACUGCUUUUAUAUGGGAGCAAUAAGGUCUUUGCGAAGACUGAUGAGAGUACCAUAUGAAUAAGCAUCGGCUAACUCCGUGCCAGCAGCCGCGGUAAUACGGAGGAUGCGAGCGUUAUCCGGAUUUAUUGGGCGUAAAGGGCAUGUAGGCGGAUUUGCAAGCUUGAUGUGAAAUCCCGCAGCUUAACUGCGGAACUGCAUUGAGAACUGCAAGACUAGAGUUACUGAGGGGAAACUAGAAUUCCAAGUGUAGGGGUUAAAUCUGUAGAUAUUUGGAAGAAUACCAAUGGCGAAGGCAAGUUUCUGGCAGAUAACUGACGCUGAGGUGCGAAGGUGCGGGGAGCAAACAGGAUUAGAUACCC
rnacentral:rRNA from 1 species